UACGUAGGGGGCUAGCGUUGUCCGGAUUUAUUGGGCGUAAAGAGCGUGUAGGCGGCCAGGUAGGUCUGGUGUGAAAACUCGAGGCUUAACCUCGAGAUGUCAUCGGAAACCAUCUGGCUAGAGUCCGGAAGAGGAGAGUGGAAUUCCUGGUGUAGCGGUGAAAUGCGCAGAUAUCAGGAGGAACACCGAUGGCGAAGGCAGCUCGCUGGGACGUUACUGACGCUGAGACGCGAAAGCGUGGGGAGCAAACAGG
rnacentral:rRNA from 1 species